UCUGGUAAUUAUGGCGUUAAGGGUAACACCCGUUCCCAUCCCGAACACGAAGGUUAAGCCUUAUCGCGCCGAUGGUACUGCAGGGGCAGCUCUGUGGAAGAGUAGGUUGUUGCCAGGU
rnacentral:rRNA from 1 species